rnacentral:rRNA from 1 species
UACGUAGGGUGCAAGCGUUGUCCGGAAUUAUUGGGCGUAAAGAGCUCGUAGGCGGUUUGUCGCGUCGAAUGUGAAAACCCGGGGCUCAACCCCGGGCCUGCAUUCGAUACGGGCAGACUAGAGUUCGGUAGGGGAGUCUGGAAUUCCUGGUGUAGCGGUGGAAUGCGCAGAUAUCAGGAGGAACACCGGUGGCGAAGGCGGGUCUCUGGGCAGUAACUGACGCUGAGGAGCGAAAGCGUGGGGAGCGAACAGG